GUAAAAAGAAUUAUUAAAUAAAAAAUUAAUAAUAAUUAAUGUUUUUGUAUAUUAAAGAAAAAAUAAUUAUUAAUAAUAGUUAAAUAGUAUUGUAGAAGAAUUUAUUAUUUUAUGGAAAAGUAAAUUUAAUUAAUUGUACCUUGUGUAUCAGGGUUUAUUAAUAUAAAAAUAUAUAUUUAUUUUUCUCGAAUUUAAAAGGGUAAAUAUAUUAUAUAAGAUAGUGUAAUAAAAUUAUUUAAAAUAAUAUAUUAGUAAUGAAAUGUUAGUCGUUUUUAAAGAUAUCUAGUUUUUUUAGAAAUAAAUUUAAUUUAGAAAAUUUAUAUAUUUAAUUUAAUUAAUAAAUUAAAUAAUUUAAAUUUUAAAUAUUUUUAGGGAUAAGCUUAAAAAUAAAUUUAUAAUUUAAAAAAUUAUAAUAAUAAAUUUAUAGGGUUAGAAAUAUUCAUUAAUAUAAAAAUGUUAUAAUAUAUUUAUUGAAAAUAUAAUAUUUUAUAUAAUUUAAAAAUUUAUAAAAAAGAUAAUUUUAAUAAAAAAAAUUAUGUUAUAAUGAUAAAAUUAGUAUAUUAAUAAUAUAAAAAUAUUUUUAUAUUUGAAAGGUUAUUAAAAGGAAUUCGGCAAAAAUAAUAUUCACCUGUUUAUCAAAAACAUGUCUUUUUGAAAAUAAUUUAAAGUCUAAUCUGCCCAUUGAAUUUUAAAAGGCUGCGGUAUUUUGACUGUACAAAGGUAGCAUAAUAAAUAGUUUCUUAAUUAGGAGCUGGUAUGAAUGAUUGAAUGAAAUAUUAACUGUCUUAUUUUAAAUGUUUUAGAAUUUAAUUUUUAAGUUAAAAAGCUUAAAUAUUAUUAAAGGACGAGAAGACCCUUUAAAGCUUAAUAUUUAAAAUUUAAAUAAAAUUAAAAGAAUAUAAUAUUUUAUAUAAAAGUAAAUAUUUUAUUGGGGUGAUAAGAAAAUUUAAUUAACUUUUAUUAUAUUUAUUAACAUUAAUAUAUGAAUAAUUGAUCCAUUUAUAAUGAUUAAAAGAUUAAGUUACUUAAGGGAUAACAGCGUAAUAUUUUUAGAGAGAACAUAUCGAUAAAAGAGAUUGCGACCUCGAUGUUGGAUUAAGAUAAUUUUUAGGUGUAGAAGUUUAAAAAUUUGGUCUGUUCGACCAAUAAUUCUUACAUGAUCUGAGUUCAAACCGGUGUAAGCCAGGUUGGUUUCUAUCCUUAAUUUAUUUUAAUAAAUUAGUACGAAAGGACCAUUUAUUAAUAAUAUUUAUAAUUUAUGUUGAAUAAAAUUAAUAAUAU
rnacentral:rRNA from 1 species